GACGAACGCUGGCGGCGUGCCUAAUACAUGCAAGUUGAGCGAUGAAGAUUGGUGCUUGCACCAAUUUGAAGAGCAGCGAACGGGUGAGUAACGCGUGGGGAAUCUGCCUUUGAGCGGGGGGCAACAUUUGGAAACGAAUGCUAAUACCGCAUAAUAACUUUAAACAUAAGUUUUAAGUUUGAAAGAUGCAAUUGCAUCACUCAAAGAUGAUCCCGCGUUGUAUUAGCUAGUUGGUGAGGUAAAGGCUCACCAAGGCGAUGAUACAUAGCCGACCUGAGAGGGUGAUCGGCCACAUUGGGACUGAGACACGGCCCAAACUCCUACGGGAGGCAGCAGUAGGGAAUCUUCGGCAAUGGACGAAAGUCUGACCGAGCAACGCCGCGUGAGUGAAGAAGGUUUUCGGAUCGUAAAACUCUGUUGGUAGAGAAGAACGUUGGUGAGAGUGGAAAGCUCAUCAAGUGACGGUAACUACCCAGAAAGGGACGGCUAACUACGUG
rnacentral:rRNA from 1 species